rnacentral:rRNA from 1 species
CUACGGGGGGCACCAGUGAGGAAUAUUGCGCAAUGGGGGAAACCCUGACGCAGCGACGCCGCGUGGAUGAUGAAGGCCUUAGGGUCGUAAAAUCCUGUCAGGUGGGAAGAAGUGGAUAUAGAUUAAUACUCUAUUUCUUUGACGGUACCACCAAAGGAAGCACCGGCUAACUCCGUGCCAGCAGCCGCGGUAAUACGGAGGGUGCAAACGUUGUUCGGAAUUACUGGGCGUAAAGCGCGCGUAGGCGGUUUGUUAAGUCGGAUGUGAAAGUCCAUGGCUCAACUAUGGAAGUGUAUUUGAAACUGGCAGACUUGAGUACUGGAGGGGGUGAUGGAAUUCCCGGUGUAGAGGUGAAAUUCGUAGAUAUCGGGAGGAAUACCGGUGGCGAAGGCGAUCACCUGGCCAGAUACUGACGCUGAGGUGCGAAAGCGUGGGGAGCAAACAGGAUUAGAUACCCGGGUAGUC